rnacentral:rRNA from 1 species
AAAGGCCCUUCGGGGUACUCGAGUGGCGAACGGUGAGUAACACGUGGGUGAUCUGCCUGCACUUGGGAUAAGCCCUGGAAACUGGGUCUAAUACCGAAUAUGACCAUGCUCUUCAUGGAGUGUGGUGGAAAGCUUUUGCGGUGUGGGAUGGGCCCGCGGCCUAUCAGCUUGUUGGUGGGGUAAUGGCCUACCAAGGCGACGACGGGUAGCCGGCCUGAGAGGGUGACCGGCCACACUGGGACUGAGAUACGGCCCAGACUCCUACGGGAGGCAGCAGUGGGGAAUAUUGCACAAUGGGCGCAAGCCUGAUGCAGCGACGCCGCGUGAGGGAUGACGGCCUUCGGGUUGUAAACCUCUUUCAAUAGGGACGAAGCGCAAGUGACGGUACCUAUAGAAGAAGACCGC